rnacentral:rRNA from 1 species
GAUGAACGCUGGCGGCGUGCCUAAUACAUGCAAGUCGAGCGAACAGACGAGGAGCUUGCUCCUCUGACGUUAGGGGCGGACGGGAGAGUAACAUGUGUAUAACCUACCUAUCAUACUGGUAUCACUUCGGGACACCGGAGCUAAUACCGGAUAAUCUAUUGAACCGCAUGGGUGAAUAGUGAAAGACGGUUUUGCUGUAACUUAUAGCUGCAUCCGCGCCGCAUUAGCUAGUUGGUAAGGAACCGGGUUACCACGGGAAGCAGGCGUAAACGAGCUGAUAGGGUGAUCGGCCACCCUGGAACGUGGACACGGUCCAGACUCCUAAGGGAGGCAGCAGUAGGGAAUGUUCGGCAACGGUGGAGAACCUGACGGAGCGACGCCGCGUGAGUGAUGACGGUCUUCGGAGCGUAAAACCCUGUUAUUAGGUAAGAACAAAUGUCUAAUUAACCGUGCCCGGCUUGACGGUAACGAGUCAGAAAGCACCGGCUAACUACGUG